GCCCAGUUAGCUUAGUUGGUAGCGCGUCUGCCUUGUAAGCGCUAGGCCGCGGGUUCGAUUCCCGCCCGGAGCG
rfam:Asian citrus Psyllid, Diaphorina citri - Florida Strain, whole genome shotgun sequence.